UCUCGGCAAAUUAUCCUCAUAAGUUAGACGAUAUGAAGAACCUUUAUUAAUAAUAAUAAUGGUGUCACAGAAUCGGAGGCCCCGACUGUUUACUUAAAACACAGCUUUCUGCUACGAUUAAUAUCUUUGUAUAGAAAGCGAAUUUUGCCCAAUGCCAUUAAUAUAAAGUUGAUAAGCGCAUAGCGUAAUUAUUAACUGAAGUUCUGGUCAAUGGCGGUCUUAUCUAUGAGGAUCCUAAGGUAGCAAAAUUAAUUGUCCAUUAAAUGUGGUCCUGACUGAAUAAAGUAACGAUGGUCUCACUGUCUCUACAAGUAUCUCAGUGAAAUUGAAUUAGCCGUGCAGAUGCGGUUUAACUACGGGUAGACGGGAAGACCCUAUGCAGCUUCUACU
rnacentral:rRNA from 1 species